rnacentral:rRNA from 1 species
UACGUAGGGUGCAAGCGUUGUCCGGAAUUACUGGGCGUAAAGGGUGCGUAGGCGGUUCGUUAAGUCUGUCGUGAAAUCCCCGGGCUCAACCUGGGAAUGGCGAUGGAUACUGGCGAGCUAGAGUGUGUCAGAGGAUGGUGGAAUUCCCGGUGUAGCAGUGAAAUGCGUAGAGAUCGGGAGGAACACCAGUGACGAAGGCGGCCUUCUGGACCAAUACUGACGCUCAUGCACGAAAGCGUGGGGAGCAAACAGG